rnacentral:rRNA from 1 species
UACAGAGGGGGCGAGCGUUAUUCGGAAUUAUUGGGCGUAAAGGGCGCGUAGGCGGCUUUUCAAGUGACGGGUGAAAUCCCUCGGCUUAACCGAGGAACUGCCUGUCAGACUGGAAGGCUUGAGACCGGGAGAGGUGAGUGGAAUUCCCAGUGUAGCGGUGAAAUUCGUAGAUAUUCGGAAGAACACCAGUGGCGAAGGCGGCUCACUGGCCCGGUACUGACGCUGAGGUGCGAAAGCGUGGGGAGCAAACAGG